UACGUAGGGGGCUAGCGUUGUCCGGAAUCAUUGGGCGUAAAGCGCGUGUAGGCGGUCCGGUAAGUCCGCUGUGAAAGUCGGGGGGCUCAACCCUCGAAUGCCGGUGGAUACUGUCGGGCUAGAGUACGGAAGAGGCGAGUGGAAUUCCUGGUGUAGCGGUGAAAUGGCGCAGAUAUCAGGAGGAACACCAAUUGCGAAGGCAGCUCGCUGGGACGUUACUGACGCUGAGACGCGAAAGCGUGGGGAGCAAACAGG
rnacentral:rRNA from 1 species